CCCCAUAAUAUUUAGAAUGGCAUCAUUUUAAAUUGAAAACUCCGGUGGAUAGAGAUGGGCACGCGCAAGAUUAGAUAGUUGGUGAGGUAACGGCUCACCAAGUCUGCGAUCUUUAGGGGGCCUGAGAGGGUGAUCCCCCACACUGGUACUGAGACACGGACCAGACUCCUACGGGAGGCAGCAGUGAGGAAUAUUGGACAAUGGGUGAGAGCCUGAUCCAGCCAUCUUUUUGUGAAGGACGACGGCCCUAUGGGUUGUAAACUUCUUUUGUACAGGGAUAAACCUACCCUCGUGAGGGUAGCUGAAGGUACUUUUACAAAUAUUUCACCGGCUAACUCCGUGCCAGCAGCCGCGUUUUUUACGGAGGGUGCAAGCGUUAUCCGGAUUUAUUGGGUUUAAAGGGUCCGUAGGCGGAUGUGUAAGUCAGUGGGUGGAAUCUCACAGCUUAACUGUGAAACUGCCAUUGAUACUGCAUGUCUUGAGUGUUGUUGAAGUAGCUGGAAUAAGUAGUGU
rnacentral:rRNA from 1 species